AAGCCCACUGGUGGAUAUCAGUGGGGCAGGAGGAAUCUAUGAACCUCAGGUUAAGAAACCCUUGUCAGAUAUAAUAUAUAUAUAAGUAGAUAUAUAUGAUAAAAAAAUAAGUUUAUGUAUCCUUUCUUAGGUGCCACAACAGAAGCAGAUUGGUUUCCUCUCGAGCUCUGCUUUGGAAUUCCACUGUUCAGUUCUGAAUUAAACCGGAAAGUUUGUAGGAAAAUUGCUACACAUGGCCUUUGCAGAAAAGAGAGCCUUCAAAACCUCUUACAUUCCAGUAGAAAACUCUCUCUGCAAGUCCUUAACUUUGUUCACUCAUUCCAGGAAGGUGCUUCAACAUUGGAUAUUCACACAGAGCCCAGUUUUUCAAGUUUGCUUUCACAGUCAUCGUAUGCUGACAUGGGUGUUCCACUUCCUGCAAAAAACUUAAUAUUUAAAGAUGGUGUCUUAUCAGAAUGGAGUGGACGGUCACCUUCCUCACUUCUUAUUGCUAAUCUCCAUUUGCAAUAAUUUGGUUACACCAUUUGUUGCUCACACUUUCUGCCUUUUUUCUUUCUUAACGUUAG
rnacentral:sRNA from 1 species